rnacentral:pre_miRNA from 10 species
UGGGAAGAUUAAGUUCUGUCCUGUUCCUAAGUACUAGUGCCGCAGGAGUGAUUAGGCUGGGCAAGACAUUACCAUAUCUCCUGCUGCUCAAGUGCUUAUCAACAGGUCGGGACACGUGUCAACU